rnacentral:rRNA from 1 species
AGUGAACGCUGGCGGUAGGCCUAACACAUGCAAGUCGAACGGCAGCACAGUAAGAGCUUGCUCUUACGGGUGGCGAGUGGCGGACGGGUGAGGAAUACAUCGGAAUCUACCUUUUCGUGGGGGUUAACGUAGGGAAACUUACGCCAAUACCGCAUAUGACCUACGGGUGAAAGCAGGGGAUCUUCGGACCUUGCGCGAUUGAAUGAGCCGAUGUCGGAUUAGCUAGUUGGCGGGGUAAAGGCCCACCAAGGCGACGAUCCGUAGCUGGUCUGAGAGGAUGAUCAGCCACACUGGAACUGAGACACGGUCCAGACUCCUACGGGAGGCAGCAGUGGGGAAUAUUGGACAAUGGGCGCAAGCCUGAUCCAGCCAUACCGCGUGGGUGAAGAAGGCCUUCGGGUUGUAAAGCCCUUUUGUUGGGAAAGAAAAGCAGCAGGUUAAUACCCCGCUGUUCUGACGGUACCCAAAGAAUAAGCACCGGCUAACUUCGUG